AUUUAUUUAGUAUAAAAAGUAUACCUGACUUCCAAUCAAGAGGCCUGAAUACCUGAUUCAGAAUAAAUA
rnacentral:tRNA from 1 species